rfam:Sporosarcina psychrophila strain DSM 6497, complete genome.
AACAAAUGAAUGUAGCUUAAGUGCGCCACUUCCUGUGGCAACAGCUACAUGACCCACAUCCUGUGGG